AAAAGACGGAAACGUAAAAAUGUGAAAAGAACAUCUUGUUCUCCUUACUGUCUUCCUCUCCUUUCCUCUUUGUCUUCGCAGAAGCCCAAACAUGAGCCUUCCAGCUGGGUGUGUUGCGUGUUAAGGAAAUUUAAUUGGCUCAAAAGUGGCUUAACGACCCUGCCGGCUAAUGGUGUCCGUUUACAGCCAAGUGAACCAAGCCCAGCGAAGGAGUGAAUGGGGCCACUGCUGUGACUGCGGCCGGAGCCGGUCAACUUGAAUUGGACUCACCUGGGAGGCAGGAUUUAUUCCAGCACGAUUCCCUCAGAUUUACUGGUGUGAUUGAACGGCUGACCCACGGUCACAGGCGUGGGUUAAACAGCCUCCCCGAAUCGUUGACGGGAACGAGGGCGAAUGGAUGUUUGGUCGCUGAUGGGGAAAAUUUGUUUGAACCCUCUGGAACAUUGUUUGAUGUCCAGUAUGGGCUCUGGAGUGCGACCUGAUUUCAUGCUGCUUCCUCUUGGUGUUGUGUAACAAGUUCAGUUUUGGCCGGUCGUCAAGGAAGUCAACCGUAGGCUUGAAUGGAUGGACACGACACUUUAGAGAUCUUUCUUAUUUUAUUAUAACCGCUGUAGCACUAUGUGUACAUAUGUACUACAUCUAUGUAGUUUAACAGUGUCGCUUGUCAGGUAACCUUGUCCCAUGUGUUAAAUCAACUUAUUUUUCUGAUGUGAUACAGAUGUGAUAGAGAUGAAAGCUCCAGGACCCACUGUCAAGUGGAACUUGAUUGGAGAUUGUUUGUGUCUGCUUCCAGGGACAAGGUGACAGAGAAAACGUCUUCCACCAAGCGACACAGUUUUAAAGCUUCUCGACAAGCAGACAGGGUGUGGUGUGCAGCAGGAGGCCAUGCACAGUAUUCAUCAUCGGGUGGUUUGACAGUAUGAGGGCUCCAAGUGACACAAUGAGAGCUCAUCCUCGAGGGACCCCCAGCUAAUCGGAUGGAAUUCACCGCAUGAAGAAAAAAACCUUCAACGUGGUAAGAAUGUGGGUAAUUGUGUUGAUCCAAUUAGCUGCUGGCCUGCCGUGUCAGAGCCAAUCAGGACACGGAGCGCCAUGGGGUCGUUAGAGGAAAAACCAAAGGCCAACUACUAAUUAGCCCGCUAGCUUUUAAUUCGAGCAGGCUCUGUGUGAUGUGGAUGAACGGGCAGCAGAAGAGGGCGCACAGCGAAGGCGACUGACACACUUCCUCUCACACGGACGUCCUGGAAGCGGAACAUGUACACACAGCGGGUGAACGCCGAGUGCUUCCCGCCGAGGACGCAUAACCCACCUUUGUGAUUGGAUGACGGAGGUGAACAGUGGCGAGCAGCCACAAAAUCAAACACAACAUCUACACGAAAUGCCCCACGUGGCUUAAAGAAGUGAGGAGAAAACUGAAAGGACUAAUAUUGAUUCUCCUGUUAUUCACACAUAUUAUACAAUUCAACCAGGGAUUUAAAUUAACUUCUUUUGAUCACCAGCCAAAAAAGUCAGUCUGGGCUCGUAGAUUUUUAAAGUUACCAGCCAGUCAGAUUUUCCACUAGCCAAAUUUUAAAUAAACCAACGUUUGAGUGCCACUGAAUACAUUUAAGCAUCCAUGUUUCGUUAAAUUGUUCUUAUUUGCGUUGAUGGCAGAUAUACAUUAAAAUGGUAAAAAUAUAUAUAUAUUGUAUUCGUUUCUCGGGCAAAUACCAGUCACUCACGACCCAAUAGCCAUUUAGAAUUAAAAGUGCUCAUUUUCUUAUUUUCGUUAACUCUUCUACUAAUUUUUCAGCUUCUUUGUUUUGUUUUGCGCCGCUCCGUUCGUCUUCUCCGUUUCACCGUAGCUCGCUCGUAAUCGAUACCACGCACAAACACACACACAAAAAAACGCCCAAAUUUCUUGGCGGAAAACAGACCCAUCUUGCAACACUGACGUUGCAUCGUUUCUGCAGCCUGCCGAUACAAACAGACAGUGUUUUUUGCUUCAUUCAUCGCCAGCCAAAUUGGCUAGUAACUCAACAAUGUUACCCGCCAAAGGAGAUUUUUACCCGGGUUGGCUACAAGAACAGACAAACAGAAUUUCCCAUUGUCAGUUGAUGAAAAAAAAAAAAAGAUGUUUGAUAUUUCUAGUUAGAAGAAAAGUCCGCAGGUAAAUGGAACGCCAGCUUUGGCUAGAGCUAGAUGUUUAUUAGCUCAUACUUCAUCCUUUAUGGGAUAAAUCCCGAGCUCAGGAAUCAGUAGCAAAAACGAAAAAGGUUCUUUAGUGAAUGAAGGCCUUCCUCACUCUUGACAGCCGUCGUAUAAAUAAAAUUGCCUCAGCCUAAACCUUAAAGAAUCUCUGGGUUUCGUCAAACAGUGUAUUGUUUUCCAGCUGCGAACCCCUCUGAAUGAUGAGGUCCUGACAGACUCUGGCAUACGAAUCAGAUAUGAAUCAGAUGACCAAUGAAACAGUGAAGCCAACUUGGAUGUUGAGUGUUUCCCUAGAUGUUUUGAUGGCUUUAGGCACAAUAUCACUGAUUGAUUGGCGUUGAAAAAAACUAAACAAAACAGAUGUGUAUGUCUGCGUAUUUGUGUUCGUGGGCAAGCAUGUGUUUGUUAUCGUGUUCAUAUUGUAAUGGGUUUGGAUGUCGCAAUACUUCGGGCUUAUACCACACUGCGAUUUGUUCAAGCAAAUGUAUUAUUCUUUCUGUGACACACAUAGACAGAAGCACGAGUGACGGGUUUCCCAUUUGUUGGCGGUCACCAGCAGGGAACCUAUUUCACAAGAAAAUACAUUGUGGAGCAUAGACCAGUGUGUAUGGUUGGGUCUUUAACUAAAGGGUCAGUUCACCCAAAUCAGAAAAACCUCUUGAGGUAUCUCAUUAGGAGCGGGGCAAGUGGAAGCAUUAACAAAUGACAUGUACAGUAAAAAAACAAAAACAAUAUCCCAGUUACCCAUCCACAGAUCCUGUAGUCAACCGUUUUUACUUGCAGUCUUUUCAACUGAAGGGAAGUCUUCACAUCCCCAUGGCCUCUUAGAGUAAUGGGAAAAAUAUGUUUAUUUGUAUAAUUUGGGAGAACUGACCCUUUCAUCUUUUCUGGUCGGCUCUGUCCCGACACUUUACACGUCACUUGUCUGCUUCACUUGGCUGAAACCUCCCCCUCAGUUCAUUGAGGCCACUUUGCCGAGCUACAGCGAGAUCAUUAGUGACACUGCCAGACCUUUUUGGUGAAAAAACACAUAUUUGUUACUUUGAGCACUUUAAGAAAACGAUAUAUAUCACAUUGGUUCGGCUGUAUGCAAUUGGCACCGGUUUAAAUCGUGGUUACGAAAUGCACAGCACGGGGUCGUGAGAGUAAUGAAAUCCGUAUGCAAAAAAAGCAGCUCAGUAAUCUCUCCCGAAUUUCAAUUUUCAACUUUUGCUGUCACCAUCCAUUCUCCAACGCCUGUACACGGUGAUUUGAGUUGAGAAAACCACCACUGGUCAUAAAUUUGUAGUUGAUGAAUAAGUCCCACCGCUUAAAAAUGAGAAAAGACGCACCUCCAGUAAAACUAUUUGAAUGGGUGCUGGAUGAACAAAAUCUGUUUCGAGCACAAAAACGUUUUGAGCCCAAGUCCCACAGCUUGUCAUUAUUUGAGUUAUCAUCCCAAAAGCAUCACACGCAGCACAAACUACAGCUGGACGCCACCAAGACAUUUAAGCACUCAAAAAUAAUGAAUGAAAUUACAAUUAUGGCGAUUUCUUUUCUAUCAUUCAAUCACUGUGUCCCUUUGAUGUGUAAGGAUGCAUGACUGACUUAUUUGGCUAGUGUCGCUGAAGAAACAGCCAGGACAAUUAGGUGCUCUCUGACUUUGACACAGAUAUGCAGCACAUGGAGGAAGUGAAAAAAAUCAAGUCAAAUCCUCAAAAAUUCUCUUUGAUUCUCAAGCAAUACUUUGAUUCUCAAGCAAAGUGAAUCACUCUGAUAUUAUAAAUCGGCACUAGUAUGAAAGUCUUUCUUUUUCCAGUUCAUAUCUACAAUUCUGACUUUGUUCAAGUGUUCAUUGUUCCCUGCUCCCGAUGUGUCAGUGACUCGUCUUUGUCCUGGUCACACCUUUAAAUCCCAAGGGACAAGUGAACAACAUGACACAACUAAAGGUCAAAGGUCACAUACGUCAAUACAUACACAUAAAAUUAGAUUUUCACCCAUUACUUAAUGUACGUGUGCCUCGUGUGCAGAUUGGUAACGUGUUCACUGUGGACCUGUUUUCUGCAAAGCCCGAGUCAACAAAGAAGAGAAAAAGUCGUGAAGCUCAAUUCACAAUUGUCCUCCUUCCUCCCACUCAACUCUGUUCCAAAAGAACUCAGCUCACAUUCAACUCUUCAGUUUGAUCCUGUUAUUUUUUUAUUAUUUUUUUUAAUCGGCAUGUAUCAGGGCACGUGGUUGGUGCAAAAAUGCACUCACUUUUGCUGACUUUGACAGAUGCCCCGUUGCGUCCAACAUUUUUCCAUGAUGGGUGAUGAGGGAUGUUGUGGGAAUACGUUGAUGAGCGCAGGCACCAUCAGGCAGUGGAGUGGCGAGACAGUGAUGCACAACUUCAGACGGAGGCCUUUGUGUUGGAGGCUUGUGGACAUGUCGCUGUUGCCACCGACUGCACUUAGAGCACAUUAAUAAUUUCGGAGGAAUGAGAAAUCUAUUUUAGCAGAAAAAAAUAGCAUUUUUAAGAUUCCAUGCAUAAUGACUGUUUGAAAAAUACAAUGCGGUCACGUUUAGAAUGCAGUCGCUUUCCAGCUUGGUUCAACUGAACUGAAUUAAUAACGCAUGUGUUUUAUGUUCUUAUCUCGAUAGACGUGAGAUCCAAUGAGCUCUGCUAUAUGGACCAGCCACUCGUGAUUCUAUAGUUGAUGAUGUAUCUAGAUUUGGUCAGAUAAGUCCUGGAUGCCAGUAAUUUGUCAGGAAGCAGAAUGGCUGGAAAAAAGUUUUGUGAAAUGGCAGUAACGGGAACGGGAGCGUGAGGCUUCGGAGAGGUUGCACACCGCCCGCGUUCAGGACGUGAUCCGGUCUGACCAAUGAAUGAGUAACAUCCUGCAGAGAUAAGGGGACUGUGUGGGUGGUCACAGACAGGGUCAGGAAGGACUUUGUGUGAGUGUGUGUGUGAGAGAGAGAGAGAGAGAGAGUGUGUGUGUGUGUGUGUGUGUGUGUGUGUGUGUGUGUGUGUGUGUGUGUGUGUGUGUUAUUAACUCUUGUCACCACCCAUUUUUUUGAAAUGAGUAUCAUUUCAAAAAAUGAUAUCAUCAGAGAUUUCAAGUUUCAUCCAGUCAUAUCUUGUGGAGUAAAGCAGCCGCCCUCAGGAUGAGCCCUGAGCCCCAUAACACACUAGAGCACUUUAUUAUUACACAAUCCACAUUCAUCUUUUUUUUUUCUCUCAAUUUAAAGUUGGUGUGCCUACACAAAAAACCCUUUCUUUUAUUGCUUUUGUUGUGUGUUAUAGUUGUAAUAUGUGUGCUUACUGUCAUAGUAUUGCUUCUAUCUUUGCGCUUCUUCUGCAAGCCGAAUUUCCCCAUAGCGGCACACUGAAUUGAACUGAGUGAAAUCUGUCCAGAGACUUUUAUUUUACUGUAAGUGAAUUGUCCGAAAUCCUCCUUGUAUUGCAUGUUGUCAGAUUGUACCUACAGUAAUCAGUGAAAUAAACCUCACAAUCAUGAUCAGUGUGGCCGAUACACGCCAAGGGCACAAAAUGUAUCUAUACGUCAAGUGGACCAACAGGACUAUGAUUGGAACAACUACAAGUCUCCGGUGUCUGCGGCCGUUUGUGGUAUUAUCACCCCAAAAAAUUAAAGUUAACAUGUGACUUGUCUGGAGCAUUUAUAAGAAAUCUUUGAUCAAACAUAUCUCAAAAAGAUUAGUAAACUGACCCUUCUGAAGCCAGAGCUCAUGGGGGGUCUUGUGCUGCCUAAUCUCCAGUAUUACUUCUGGUCAACCAAAUGAUGAAACUUUGUGUCAUGGUCAGUGGGGAGACAGGACCCACUGUGGCUCCAGAUGGGAGCCAAACUUUUUUGAUCACUUGUUCUUGGACUCUCUUGUAUUUAUAAAACACUUCAAUGUAAUAAAAAAACAGAUUGGAUCAGUGUUUCACUGUUUUUAACACACGUUAGGCUCAGAGGGAUUUUAUUACAAAAAUUGGUACAAGUAUAACUCGUAUUUCCAGUCAUCAGAAACCUGACACAACCUCCCCAACCAAGUUAGUUAAUGCAUAUUAAUGUCAUAAUGCAAAAGUAGCACACAGCAGUGAGUAUAUGUGAUCGAGCUUCGAAACCAUGGUUUUUUUUUACCAGCUGCAAUCCCUUGACUGGUGGGCACCAAGGUGUUUUGAUCCAGAAGGCCAAGUCUAAUUUCUGCCAAAAAUCUGUGUCAAUUGUGCCAAACAAGGACGUAAUAAUUAUAUGACUGAUUUGAUUUGGAUUUGAUUUGAUUUGUUUAUAUGAUGACAAUUAUUUGAUAUAAUUUUCAUCAUCAACUGGACAUCCUGUGUUGCAGAGGACAAUUGAAUUAGCAUUUUAUUUUGCACUGGGAAGUGAUUGAAUUAAAUGUCUGCUUGUCCAGCUGGGGCGCGGACACGGGGGGAGAGCACAGGAGGGACUCCGAGUUAUGAUCUGCCAUGAGGAUAGAGCAAUGUGUUGCACCGUAGGUAUUUACAGAAAGCUAGGACCCAAUUCAAAGCAGCAGGAACCUAGAAAGAACAGACCAAGGAUCAUAUAUUUCACAUACAAAAAUCAAGAAUUUAAAUUCCAUUGCAAAGUUUUAAAAUAACCCACUGUUUCUUUCUAUUUUUCUCUUUUUUAAAUGUUAAGUUCACUCGGCUCACAACCUCUCAAUACGUCACUAAUGGAACAAAACUCAUUUUUCAUUCCACAAUUACCACUAUAAGACGUGCGUUGCGGCUCAUGAAAUUGUCAUUCUAAUUCAAGAUUUAGGGCAAAAGCUAUACAUUUGUAAAUCUUCCGCAUCACACUGACAGUUUUAUUGCCUCCGCCAAAUGCGUCUCUAUUUUGGUGCUAUAUUGGUCUAGAUCAAGUCUGAGUGGUCACGCCUGCGGUGAAAGUUGGCUUGUUUAAUUAUCUAAUAAGAUCAAGAUGACUAAUAACCCUGAGAUUGCAGAUCUGGCACAUCCAGGAUUCUAACAUCUAAACAAAAUCUUUACAGCAAUAUGGAAACUGUGAGGUGUUACGGGAGAAUAAGAAGCAAAUAUGGACAUUUGCUUUUUAAAAGCUUCAGCCAUCUCAAAUUUCUUUGCACGAGAACAAAAUAAACAAAUAUGCCACCGUGUCAACCUAACACAAUAUUCAUACGAUAACAACAAAUGCAUUGUUUAGAGAUUUACAUGCAACUGUGGUUCUAUGAAUGUUUCGCAAAGAGAUAAUGUCAGCGGGCACCAUUUUAACACAGAGGUAAGUGGGUGCAUUUGCAACAUAUAAACAAUGUACUUGGCAAAUUAGAGGAAAACUCUUUUGUGGUCUGUGUGUCGGUGUUUGUGUACAUGCAUGUGUGUGUGUGUAGUGCAGCAUCGAGGACCAUUAAAUAGAACUGGAUUGGAGCCUAGUCCAUUGUAUGCAGAAAGCCAGGGCAGCAAUGAUUGGAGGAGUAAUGUGAGGGAUUACUACACAAAGUAUUGGUACAGUGAGGUAACAUCUGGCUCCUUUCAACCUUUAGAGUUACAGCACAUUUAUAUUUUAUAAUCACUGUAUUUUAUGCGGUAACAAUGCGACUAAGUAGUCUCCUUGUUCAUUUUACAGUUGUUUUGUUUAAAGGUCAAAUCUCUGAAUGCUGGCCACAGAUUUUAAUGUACCUUUGCUAACGGAAACAAACUUAAAUUUACCUCUGUCUCUGUAUUCCAAAAAUGUGACUCCCAACUCCCAACGAGUUGCAUAUUACACUCAACCAGUGCCGUGUGAUGAAGACGUUUAUGACCCAGCAGAGUUUUCCAGCCUACUCUGAUGGUCCCAACACUCCCUAGAGGCCAAAAGUGCCACUACACCGACCGCCUGCUACCCCCGAGCGACCCCUCGCAGCCUGGAUGACCUCGCUGCCAGGGAUGGUUGGCUGCGGCCUACAGAUGCUGAGCCACUGCCGCGCACCGCUGCCAACAAACCACCACCACCACCACUGGUCCCCCGCGCGCGGCCUAUUGUUCCACGCUGCGUCGCCUCGGAUGCCAGCAAAGCUGGGCAACUACAACGGGGGUGACCACAGCUCUGGCCGUACCUCUCAUCAGUCCAAGUAGCGGCAUGGCACAGCGACUGCCCAGCACCGAGAGCCAGAGCUCCCGGCCAGAGUGAAAUAAUAACGUGGUCCAGUCCUCCUCAAAGGCCAAUGCACGCUGGUUGGCAUCCAUGAAUCGCACCAAAACACCGUAUCUGAACUGCUCACAGAAACAUGACCAUCCCCACGAGCCAACACCAGUGCGACUUGUAUCGGGUUUGUCGUACAACUCUUGGCAGGAAACUGUACAAUGAAAGAAAUAGAAAAUGUCUAAAAUGUGAAGCUAUUCUUUAAACACAGAGGCAUCAUCAAUGCUGUCUCUUCGUUAUGAUCACAUGUAUGAGCUGUAGUGGCUCUGCUGUAAAUGAUUCUCACGGUUCCCUUCAGCCAAACAUUUCUUCAUUGCAUGGAAUCAAGACCAAGACAAAAAAAGAGUUUCUUUAAGUCAUUCAAUUGCAGCCACACUCUGUGAGCUGGUUAAUUGAGUUUCUAUCAACAGUUACAGCUCCGGAGAGUCUGUUUUUGGUCAUUGUUCAUACAAGCAAUGACCUUGUGUCAUCUGCUCACGGCUAAUAGGUUUGGCUGACGAAAAUACAUACAGAAAUACAAUGCACACGGUCAUAAAGAUUUCUUUAUUUUCUCUUGUGGUCUCUGUGUGUGAAACUACAUCAUUGGGCAGAGAAAACGCUGACCUGUCACUAUAUCUCCUGAUGAUGUGCUAUUAUUUAUCAUUCACUUAAUUCCCAAUCCCACAGCCCUAACUCAGCCAUUUACCGAUGCAAGUGUUACCGUAACCCCUCAACUGUUAAAUUGAACGUCUUGUCAUGCUCACAUCCACACAUGCUCUCAUACGAAGUUGCUCAAUUGGACACUGUCUCCUCCUGCUCCUCGGGAUGUGUAUUCACACCACACCGGGGUGCUCUGCCUCCGUUGCCUAAUGCUGAUGAAUUUGUGCAAUAAAACACAGCAAGGCCCGCAAAGGAAUGGCCCUCACUACCAACGGUAUAGGGACUCACACUGGUGUCAUACGGUUUUAAUAGGCUGCGGACACUGUAACCACACUGUGUAGACAACCCACUCAGAGAGCGGCGCAGGGUGGAGGGAAGUGAGGCAAAUGAGACAGAGAGAGAGAGAGAAACAUGUACGGUAUGUGUUUAUGAAAAAGAGAGUGAUAGCUACACGGAUAGAAUUCAAGAAUCUGUUACUCUGCCAAAUAAGGCAACGGUGAUUUCACAAUAUUACCUGCAAGAAGUCAUCUCUUUCCCGCCAACAUAUAAUUUAACAUUUAUUCAUCCGCAACACCUCUGGAGAGAGAGAAUUUUUCAGUAGUAGUACUACAAGUACUACCUUUUUUUAAUCAUCGCAAUACUUUUUUAAGGUUUAUUAUAUAGAUCGUUGUUUCUCAAGCUUGUUAAAAUGUUGAUUCUGAUGUGUCUAAGGCCAGAAUGGAGACUUACCUCGACAAAACAUGUUCACCUCAUUUGUGCCCGUUUCAAUUUCUGACAUAACCCACAGAUUGAGUUGACACAAAGCCGCAUUAUAACGCUCUAAAAAGCAGAUCACCAUCCACAUUUAUUAAUUAAUCAAUCAUUUGUAGGUUUGUCACUACCUUUGACCACUUACGCAAUACCCUUAGACCUCCCUUCCAUUAAUUAUAGAAAUAAUGACGACAUUAUUUCCAUAAUUGACUUUUGAUUUCCCCUAAUUCAGUGUUCCCAGAAAAACUCACACAUGAAGUUUUUAGCUGGUGAGAGAACGAGAGAGACGGGAGAAAGUGGGGCAUGGUCCUAAUGUAAAGGCUCUAUUAAUAGUGACAGCAAAGCCGAACUUGUCAAGUCUCUGCGGUACUGAUGGACACACCCUCCUCAGUGGCAGCUGGAACCCUCCUCGCUGUUAAGAUACAACCUCACCAGUGUAAAUGUUUAGAAGCGUUUUUUUCCUCCACUCUCUCUCUCUCUGCUCCUCCUUGGUUAUUCAAUCAAAGGAUUAAAUGUUGCAACAUCAGCCACGGUUGUGGAAAACAUCCCCGUCCUCACCAUGGAGAUGGUUGCUUGCUAAACGAGAAGAAAAAAGCUGGCGUCUCUAUAGAAUGUCACACAAGAGCACAGAAAGGUUGUUCGCAGAAUUCUGCUCAUGCGUGUGCUUAUGUGUCUCAAGUGGAAACCGCGUCGUCUCCUUCAAGGAUGAAAACAAAACAAAAGACUCAUAUGUAAACUUGUGAGCCGAACAGUAAUUGCAGUUUCCUCUUGGGUCAUUUGGUGCCAUUUGACUGCUGGAAUUCAUGGAUGAGACUCAUUAUUUCUGAGGUUUUGACAAAACUGGAACACUACCGCUUCACAGGUCCCAGGCGACACACGCAUGUGUCACCAAAUGCAGCAAACUCAGCACUGAAAUGCCAGAUGGGGCAAGAUAUUUCCCACAAGCUCUGGCAGAGUCACUGGCCAUCACUGGUAUCUGAGAAAUAUUUGAAUAUACGGAUGGAUAGAGACAAAGACCCUGGGUCCGAACCAGAGUCAAUGCUUCAAAUUCAUUGCGGGCAACAACUGAGUUCAGUAUUCCACUUUACAGCAACUGCAACUUGCCAAAAAAAAAGGCUUGAGAAUUCUCCAACUCAGGGCGUUUAUAACAGAGAUUUUCCUCCAGAGAAACUUCAGUGUUGGUCCUUUGUUUAAAGGCCCAAUGUGUAAUUUUUGUACUUUUCUGUCAGCAUCUGGUGGUAAAGUUGCAAACCGCAAACAACUGAGCAACCGACAGGGGACACUUUAUGGUG